rnacentral:sRNA from 1 species
GUUUAUUUUAUUAAUCUAUUUUUUAACUGGGUAGGGAUUGCUUUUGUAAUUAGAAAAAUUAUUAAAAACUCUCUUUAAUUAGGAAGAUUAUGUAAAGCUGUAAAGCAAAUUUAUUUUGCAUUUCAGAGGCUGUUUCUUUAUCUUGCUCUCUCUCCUGUGGCAGAUUUUAUGGCCGGAAGAUGGUGAAUAUCUUGAUGGCGAACACUAAGUUUGAUGCAUUUCUGAAGCAAUCUCUCCCAUCUUACGACUUGCAGAAGGUCAUGGCGGCCAUUAAACAGCGGGGAAUAGAAGAUAAUGAUGAACUUCCCUCUGCCAAAGGCCGCAAGGUGUUGAGGAGUCUGGUGGUGUGUGAGAACGGGCUGCCCAUCAAGGAGGGGCUCAGCUGCAAUGGCCCAAGGCUGGUGGGGCUGCGCUCCACACUGCAGGGCCGCGGGGAGAUGGUGGAGCAGCUACGGGAGCUGACGCGGCUGCUGGAGGCCAAGGACUUCCGGUCCCGGAUGGAAGGCGUGGGGCAGCUCCUGGAGCUCUGCAAGGCCAAGCCGGAGCUUGUCGCUGCCCACCUGGUCCAGGUCUUUGAUGCUUUCACCCCAAGGCUUCAGGAUUCCAACAAGAAAGU